AGAGGACUUUUCUUGAAUGGAAGCAAUCAGAAGCCUGUUUCCUGUAUCCUGUUCUGAAUUCCUGUUUGACCCUCGGGUCGGCUACUGGAAGAAAGGACAAGGACAUCAAAAAGAAGGCUUAGCAAAGUAGUAAGACAAGCAAAAGAGCCUUCUAAAGGCAAAGCAAAGAAGAUCCGGGACAGGAGGCAUAAAGGCAGAGCUUUGCUAUGGUAACAAUAGCCUACAACAGUGACAAGAAGAACAAAAGGCUCUUUUUCAUUCCUUAAAAAUAAAAAAUAAAAUAAAAUA